rnacentral:rRNA from 1 species
AAAUCCAUAAGUAUUUCCCCUGGGGAGUUCGGCCGCAAGCCUGAAACUCAAAGGAAUUGACGGGGGCCCGCACAACCGGUGGAGCAUGUGGUUUAAUUCGAUGAUACGCGAGGAACCUUUACCAAGGCUUAAAUGUAGAUUGACCGAUUUGGAAACAGAUCUUUCGCAAGACAAUUUACAAGGUGCUGCAUGGUUGUCGUCAGCUCGUGCCGUGAGGUGUCAGGUUAAGUCCUAUAACGAGCGCAACCCCUGUUGUUAGUUGCCAGCGAGUCAUGUCGGGAACUCUAACGAGACUGCCAGGGCAAACUGUGAGGAAGGUGGGGAUGACGUCAAAUCAUCACGGCCCUUACGCCUUGGGCUACACACGUGCUACGAUGGCCGGUACAGAGAGCAGCCACCUCGCGAGGGGGAGCGAAUCUAUAAAACCGGUCACAGUUCGGAUCGGAGUUUGCAACUCAACUCCGUGAAGCUGGAAUCGCUAGUAAUCGGAUAUCAGCCAUGAUCCGGUGAAUACGUUCCCGGGCCUUGUACACACCGCCCGUCAAGCCAUGGAAGCUGGGGGUGCCUGAAGUCGGUGACCGCAAGGAGCUGCCUAGGGUAAAACUGGUAACUAGGGCUAAGUCGUAACAAGGUAACAAGUCGUAGAGUUUGAUCAUGGCU